AUGUCGGAACGGGAAAAGGGCUCAGGAACGCCUCGGCGUCCCCCCUCACCUGCUUCGGGAGGGAAGCGACGUGAGAAGGACCUUCUAGAAGGCGAUGGCAAGCGGAGGAAGGCCUCCCGGGAUAGUUCCAGUACUCAACCACCUCCCGCCUGUCCGCAGUCAGCUGCGGGCCCGAGCCACAUCGGCGAUACAGCGGUGCCUCCUUCGAGUGAAGUAACUUUGGACAAGCUUUCUACCCUUUUGGGUGCUCUAAUUGAAAGAUUAGACCAGCCGGCAGUCCCUCCAGUGUCGGUGGAGACAAACUUCACCUUCCCCCAUUCUGAUGAUGAGGCAGCUGAAGCGCCUCGGUGUCUGCCCGAAGCUGAUCCCCUUGACGACCUCGAUCUGCUUACUGCCCCCGCUACACAGUCAACCGGUGAUUCGGUGGUUGAUGCGGAUUUCCAGAAAGCUCUCGAUGAGUUUGCUGGCCACUUCCGGGGUGAGGAAGAGACAGGUGACCCCUUAUCUGACCGCCUGGCUGGCAUUCUUAAUGCCAGUCUGAGACGUCGGCCCUCUUCUGACGGUGUGAAGCUUACAUGUGAUAAGAUCAAACUCCCGAGUAAUGUACCCAAUUUAAAGGUCCCAGCGACUACUUCUGCCAUCACAAAGGCAAUGAGCGUCGGUGGAAAGCUAGUUGACACUCGGCUGUCACUUACUAAUAAACUGUUGACCAAGGCGUUGGUCCCCAUUGCCUGUUGCAUCAGUGAUAUUGGUGAUAAGAAAGACAAGCCUGUAAACUACUACCUUGAUGGUCUUAAUAACAGCCUGAGGCUACUGACUUCCGCUGUUAACUACAUCAAUCAGCUUCGGAAAGAGGUUGCUCGAACUCAUGUGAAUGAUUCUGCCUUGGCAGAGCUCUGCAAUUGGGAGUGUGAGGUCGGCAAGGAUGAUUUAUUCCCGUUCGAUGUGAUUAAGAAGUGUGAGGAAAUUCACAAAUCCAGGAAACUUGGGCGGCCCACCUUCCGCCCUUACAAAGCUCCUGGAAAACGAUUUGCUUCACCUCGCCAGUUACCCUCACGCCCUCACUCUCAGCAGCCGAGACCACGUCACCAAACAAGGUCUUUUUUAGGCCAGAGGCCUCCCCAGGGGAAGGGGAUGCCGAGACACAGAGCUCACCAGUGAAAGUACCUUUGUAUUAUAUCAAGGGUCCUCCAAAAGCUCCAGGAAGACGAAGCUACAGUGAUGGUGAUUCUUCCUCUAUGGCCGACUCAAGUAUGGUUCCCGACAGCCCUCCGCUUGCUAACGGCACCUCCUGUGCUUCUCCCCCGUCUUCCUCUCGUGCUGCCACAAAAUCCAACUCUCACACAUCCUCGGUCUCAAGUGUUGAUCUUGACAGCGAUGGUAUUAUCAGGGAAUCGUACCAAAGUCGCGGCCUUUCGCCGGAAGUUGCCGGAUUUCUGCUGCACUCCUGGAGGGAGAGCACGAGAGUACAGUAUGGGUCGCAUAUUAAGAAAUGGUUGUCAUUUUGCUUCGGCAGGAAAAUUGAUCUCUUUCAGCCAUCUUCAGCUGACCUUUUAGAUUUCCUCCUUUCCGAAUUUAGGAGGGGUGCAGGUAGGACUUACAGCUCCAUCAACACGUUACGGUCGGCCAUCUCGGCAGUGGCAAGUAUCAAUGGCCAGCCGGCAGGACAACAUCCCUUAGCUACAAGGUUUAUGAAAGCAGUCUUUCAGGUGAGACCGUCCUUACCCCGCUACGGUACGACCUGGGAUCCUCACUUGAUCUUGGAUCACAUCAUAGGUCUUGGGCCCGAUAAAGAUUUGUCCUUGAUUCAGUUAUCAAGGAAGCUAACAAUCCUUAUGUUGCUCCUCUCUGGUCAACGCGGUCAGACUUUACAUAUGUUAGACAUUAGGAACAUGACUGUUUCGGACAGUCGGGUCUCUUUUAGGAUUGGUGAUCCGCUAAAAACUUCUAGGCCAGGUACACACUUGUCAGAAUUGGUUUUCGUAGCCUAUCCCCCAGACAGGAGGUUAUGUGUUGUCACCUCAACGAUGAGCUAUCUAGAACGCACAAACAACAUGCGGGGUUCGCUCACGGGUUUCUUUCUCACAACAAGACCUCCAGUCAAACUGGCUUCACGGGACACAUUACGUCGCUGGACGAAAGAUGUCAUGCGAGCUGCUGGCAUUAAUCUUGGCAUUUUUUCACCUCAUUCUACCAGGUCGGCGUCAGCCAGUAAGGCGGCCCUGCGGCUCCCUUUGUCGACAAUUAUCUCUACUAUUGGCUGGACCAGAGAAUCUACAUUCACGAAGUACUACAGGAAGCCCAUAAUUGAUGCUGGACUGACGUGGAGCUGGUGAAGCGGGCAUCUCGUUUACUACCUCAGUGACGCAGUUAAAUGUUCGUGAAAUUACGAUCAAACAUCAUACUUGGUAAGUAUUCGUUUAAUCUCCCAAUUUCACUUCACGACUAUUUAACUGACGUCACCGGUAGUCAACGAGAUGCCCGCUUCACCAGCUCCACGCCAGUUCGCUGCUAGUCUCCACACAGUCCACACCUCAACGCUGUCUGCUGUUCCGCUCGUCGACCACCUGGCUUCUGUUCACCGGCUUUCUCUUAGGAGUCAGCCUGGUAAGCCUUCACCCGCUACAGCAGGGUGUUAGCUGUAUGGUGAUUCCACAUAUAUGAUCUAAGGACGUAUAUGUUGGCUCUUGUGUUUCCUUCCCGUUUUCCGUUCUUUCUAGACGUGAGAUGUCGGAACGGGAAAAGGGCUCAGGAACGCCUCGGCGUCCCCCCUCACCUGCUUCGGGAGGGAAGCGACGUGAGAAGGACCUUCUAGAAGGCGAUGGCAAGCGGAGGAAGGCCUCCCGGGAUAGUUCCAGUACUCAACCACCUCCCGCCUGUCCGCAGUCAGCUGCGGGCCCGAGCCACAUCGGCGAUACAGCGGUGCCUCCUUCGAGUGAAGUAACUUUGGACAAGCUUUCUACCCUUUUGGGUGCUCUAAUUGAAAGAUUAGACCAGCCGGCAGUCCCUCCAGUGUCGGUGGAGACAAACUUCACCUUCCCCCAUUCUGAUGAUGAGGCAGCUGAAGCGCCUCGGUGUCUGCCCGAAGCUGAUCCCCUUGACGACCUCGAUCUGCUUACUGCCCCCGCUACACAGUCAACCGGUGAUUCGGUGGUUGAUGCGGAUUUCCAGAAAGCUCUCGAUGAGUUUGCUGGCCACUUCCGGGGUGAGGAAGAGACAGGUGACCCCUUAUCUGACCGCCUGGCUGGCAUUCUUAAUGCCAGUCUGAGACGUCGGCCCUCUUCUGACGGUGUGAAGCUUACAUGUGAUAAGAUCAAACUCCCGAGUAAUGUACCCAAUUUAAAGGUCCCAGCGACUACUUCUGCCAUCACAAAGGCAAUGAGCGUCGGUGGAAAGCUAGUUGACACUCGGCUGUCACUUACUAAUAAACUGUUGACCAAGGCGUUGGUCCCCAUUGCCUGUUGCAUCAGUGAUAUUGGUGAUAAGAAAGACAAGCCUGUAAACUACUACCUUGAUGGUCUUAAUAACAGCCUGAGGCUACUGACUUCCGCUGUUAACUACAUCAAUCAGCUUCGGAAAGAGGUUGCUCGAACUCAUGUGAAUGAUUCUGCCUUGGCAGAGCUCUGCAAUUGGGAGUGUGAGGUCGGCAAGGAUGAUUUAUUCCCGUUCGAUGUGAUUAAGAAGUGUGAGGAAAUUCACAAAUCCAGGAAACUUGGGCGGCCCACCUUCCGCCCUUACAAAGCUCCUGGAAAACGAUUUGCUUCACCUCGCCAGUUACCCUCACGCCCUCACUCUCAGCAGCCGAGACCACGUCACCAAACAAGGUCUUUUUUAGGCCAGAGGCCUCCCCAGGGGAAGGGGAUGCCGAGACACAGAGCUCACCAGUGAAAGUACCUUUGGUAAGUCCCUUGUUAAUGGACUUGAUUAAUACUCCGGAUAAUUUUCAUGGGGGAAAAAUCUUUGAUGCCAGGUUACAGUGGAACCUUCUUUCCUCGGAUAAAUGGAUCUAUGAUGUGGUACAUGGAAAAUUUUUAGCUUUUGUGCGUGUCCCCAUACAGGGGAGCCCUCCGGCUCCUCUUAGCUUGUCACUUUCAGAUGAAAAAGCGCUGGACUCUGCCAUGCUAAAGUUCUUGGAGCAGAGGAUAGUUGAAUUAUGUGCACCAGGGGGACAUGGUUUUCUUUCUAACAUUUUUCCUACCAUUAAGA